rnacentral:tRNA from 1 species
GGCGACGUAGCUCAGGGGUUAGAGCAGACGCUUCAUAAGCGUCGGGUCACUGGUUCAAAUCCAGUCGUCGCUA